GAAGAACGUAGCGAAAUGCGAUACUUGGUGUGAAUUGCAGAAUCCCGUGAACCAUCGAGUCUUUGAACGCAAGUUGCGCCCGAAGCCAUUAGGCCGAGGGCACGCCUGCCUGGGUGUCACACAUCGUUACCCCAACGCAAACAUGUAACAAUGUUGCUGCGCGGGGUGUAUGCUGACCUCCCGCGAGCACCCGCCUCGUGGUUGGUUGAAAUCUGGGUUCAUGGCCGACUUCGCCGUGAUAAAAUGGUGGAUGAGCCACGCUCGAGACCAAUCACGUGCGAGCCGGUCAGUUCUGGACCCAUCGACGACCCUUUGCGUGCACGCACGCUCCCAACGAGACCUCAGGUCAGGCGGGGCUACCCGCUGAGUUUAAGCAUAUCAAUAAGCGGAGGA
rnacentral:misc_RNA from 1 species